GAAGCUGGCCAGGCAGUCGCUGUUUCGCUUGCUGAGACUUCAUAAUAGGGCUUAUGGCUCUAUUUAUGAUGUUAUCGGUGGUGAGAUAGAGGAAAGUCCGGGCUCCACAGGGCAGAGCGCCAGGUAACGCCUGGGGGGCGAAAGCCUAUGGAAAGUGCCACAGAAAAUAUACCGCCCAACUUUGAAGUUCGCUUUAAGGCUGGGUAAGGGUGAAAUGGUGCGGUAAGAGCGCACCGCGCGGCUGGCAACAGGCGUGGCAGGGUAAACCCCGCUCGGAGCAAGGCCAAAUAGGGAUCCACUGGUGCGGCCCGCACUGGAUCCGGGUAGGCUGCUUGAGGUGUACGGCGACGUGCAUCCCAGAUGAAUGACUGUCCACGACAGAACCCGGCUUAUCGGCCAGCUUCCAUU
rnacentral:RNase_P_RNA from 1 species